AACGUAGGAGGCGAGCGUUAUCCGGAUUUACUGGGCGUAAAGCGCACGCAGGCGGCUUCGUUAGUCGGAUGUGAAAGCUCCUGGCUUAACUGGGAGAGGCCAUUCGAUACUGCGGGCUUGAGGUUGGGAGAGGGGUGUGGAAUUCCCGGUGUAGUGGUGGAAUGCGUAGAUAUCGGGAGGAACACCAGUGGCGAAGGCGGCACCCUGGCCCACACCUGACCGCUGAGGAGCGAAAGCCAGGAGAGCAAACGG
rnacentral:rRNA from 1 species